AUUUUUGUGUUUGAUGACUGCUUGUUUCCUUGUAGUAGGAUCUCCAACUUUUUGGAAUGUUCCAAACUCCACUUGAGCAUCCAAAUCUGGAUCAAUACCAGCAAAAACAUCUCGGAACAAGGUUCUAGCGCCAUGCCAAAUGUGUCCGAAAAAGAAGAGCAAAGCAAAGGUAGCAUGACCAAAAGUGAACCAACCCCUUGGACUGCUG